UGGGGAAUAUUGCGCAAUGGGGGGAACCCUGACGCAGCCAUGCCGCGUGAAUGAAGAAGGCCUUCGGGUUGUAAAGUUCUUUCGGUAUUGAGGAAGGUUGAUGUGUUAAUAGCACAUCAAAUUGACGUUAAAUACAGAGGAAGCACCGGCUAACUCCGUGCCAGCAGCCGCGGUAAUACGGAGGGUGCGAGCGUUAAUCGGAAUAACUGGGCGUAAAGGGCACGCAGGCGGUUAUUUAAGUGAGGUGUGAAAGCCCCGGGCUUAACCUGGGAAUUGCAUUUCAGACUGGGUAACUAGAGUACUUUAGGGAGGGGUAGAAUUCCACGUGUAGCGGUGAAAUGCGUAGAGAUGUGGAGGAAUACCGAAGGCGAAGGCAGCCCCUUGGGAAUGUACUGACGCUCAUGUGCGAAAGCGUGGGGAGCAAACAGGAUUAGAUACCCUGGUAGUCCACGCUGUAAACGCUGUCGAUUUGGGGGUUGGGGUUUAACUCUGGCGCCCGUAGCUAACGUGAUAAAUCGACCGCCUGGGGAGUACGGCCGCAAGGUUA
rnacentral:rRNA from 1 species